CUAUAUAAAUCUCUCCGUCUUGUGUCUUGUGUCUUGUGUUAUCAUCAAGUUUAUAGUUUUACGAUUCUCUCUGCAUACAAAUCAAUUGACUGCCUCUAGGUUUGGAUUGGGUGGUUCUGGUGCGUAGCUGGGUGGGUAAGCUUUAGCAUGCGCUGGUGGACGAGUCCUUGCCCACGUGUGCAGAUUGGCGAUGGUGUCCAAGUUCGUUGGGCGAGGCACUGUUGGAGCUCCUGCUGCUGAGCCAGCACGCGACGCCCGUCGUCCGUCGAUGCCACCGGGGCCGCCGCCGGCGGCGAGAAGACCAACAGCUUCAGCUUCAAC
rnacentral:lncRNA from 1 species